rnacentral:rRNA from 1 species
AUUGAACGCUGGCGGCAGGCUUAACACAUGCAAGUCGAACGAGUGGCGGACGGGUGAGUAAUGCCUGGGAAUCUGGCUUAUGGAGGGGGAUAACGACGGGAAACUGUCGCUAAUACCGCGUACCAUAGGAUGAGCCCAAGUGGGAUUAGGUAGUUGGUGGGGUAAUGGCUUACCAAGGCGACGAUCCCUAGCUGGUCUGAGAGGAUGACCAGCCACACCGGAACUGAGACACGGCCCGGACUCCUACGGGAGGCAGCAGUGGGGAAUAUUGCGCAAUGGGGGCAAGCCUGACGCAGCCAUGCCGCGUGUAUGAAGAAGGCCUUCGGGUUGUAAAGUUCUUUCAGCGGGGAGGCGUUACCCGCAGAAGAAGCACCGGCUAACUCCGUGCCAGCAGCCGCGGUAAUAC